UACAGAGGGUGCGAGCGUUAAUCGGAAUUACUGGGCGUAAAGCGUGCGUAGACGGUAGCGUAAGUCAGAUGUGAAAGCCCCCGGGCUCAACCUGGGAACUGCAUUUGAGACUGCUCUGCUCGGGUGCGGAAGAGGGAAGCGGAAUUUCCGGUGUAGCGGUGAAAUGCGUAGAUAUCAGGAGGAACACCGAUGGCGAAGGCAGGUCUCUGGGCAUUAACUGACGCUGAGGAGCGAAAAGCAUGGGGAGCGAACAGG
rnacentral:rRNA from 1 species